rnacentral:rRNA from 1 species
GAGGACUGGCGGCGUGCUUACCAUGCAAGUCGAACGGGCAUAUCUUUCGGGGUAUGUUAGUGGCAGACGGGUGCGUAACACGUAGGUGACCUGCCCUAGAGUGGGGAAUAACUAGUCUAACGACUAGCUAAUACCGCAUGAACUCGGCGAUUCAGUUGGUCGAGUAAAGCUGCAAAGUGCUUUAGGAUGGGCCUGCGGCGGAUUAGGUAGUUGGUGGGGUAACGGCCUACCAAGCCGAUGAUCCGUAGGGGGCGUGAGAGCGUGACCCCCCACACUGGCACUGAGACACGGGCCAGACUCCUACGGGAGGCAGCAGUGAGGAAUAUUGCACAAUGGGCGCAAGCCUGAUGCAGCAACGCCGCGUGAGGGACGAAGGCCUUCGGGUCGUAAACCUCUUUUCUGGGGAAAGAGCAAGGACGGUACCUCAGGAAUAAGUCUCGGCUAACUGCGUGCCAGCAGCCGCGGUAAAACGUAGGAGGCGAGCGUUAUCCGGAUUUACUGGGCGUAAAGCGCAUGUAGGCGGCUUCGUGAGUCGGAUGUGAAAGCUCCUAGCUUAACUGGGAGAGGCCAUUCGAUACUGCGGGGCUUGAGGUUGGAAGAGGGGUGCGGAAUUCCCGGUGUAGUGGUGGAAUGCGUAGAUAUCGGGAGGAACACCUGUGGCGAAAGCGGCACCCUGGUCCACACCUGACGCUGAGAUGCGAAAGCGUGGGUAGCAAACAGGAUUAGAUACCCUGGUAGUCCACGCUGUAAACGAUGUCAACUAGGUGUCGGUAGCUUUACGCUAUCGGUGCCGAAGCUAACGCGUUAAGUUGACCGCCUGGGGACUACGGCCGCAAGGCUAAAACUCAAAGGAAUUGACGGGGGCCCGCACAAGCAGCGGAGCGUGUGGUUUAAUUCGAUGCAACACGAAGAACCUUACCCAGGUUUGACAUGGUCGUAGUAGUGAAGCGAAAGCGGAACGAGCCUUCGGGCAGCGAUCACAGGUGCUGCAUGGCUGUCGUCAGCUCGUGUCGUGAGAUGUUGGGUUAAGUCCCGCAACGAGCGCACCCCUGUGCAGUUACACGUGUCUGGCGAGACUGCGGUAUCAGCGAGAGGUGGGGAUGACGUCAGUCAGCAUGCUUUAUAUCGGGCUACCCAACACGCUACAUGUCGUACAUGGAUGCAGCGCGAGGCGGGGCUAUCCAUCAAAACGGGCCUCAGUUUCGGAUGGGAGGGGCUGCAACCGGC